AGUCCAUCAGUCGAAGUCCCAGGAGGUCAUUGGCAAAUGGAAAAAUUGGAGGUUGAUGAGGCUAAUCCUGGAGGCAAACACCAGGCUGGCCUGCUGGUGCCCCUAAGGAGAACAAUGAAGAAUAGCAAUCAGGGGUCUUUAGUAAAGAUCCAAGGAGACCUUCACUCUCAAGGGUGUCUGGGACUAUUCCAGUUAUAAAAUGGAAGACUGUUUUCUGGAAUGUUCAUCUGCCCCAGGCGUCAUGAAAACAGCUUGUAGAAAGGAGUUGGAUUACCUUCUUCACGGUUAUGAUGCCUACUUGGAAAUUGGGAUCUGUGUUGAUGUCAAAAACAUCAGCACCAUCGCCAUCCAAGAUAGUGUAUUUCAUCUCUGCGUUUAUUCCUUCAUCCAAGUCCUCGGCAAAUAGUCUCCCCACAGUGGAGCUCACCGGAGCUGACUCCAACACACUCAUCUGAUAAAGUCCUGUGGAGAAAAUCAAGAACAUG